rnacentral:tmRNA from 1 species
GGCCUAGCAUUCGCCCCUGAUCGCGCCUAUAUUCAGGCUGUCGCAAGACGAUGGCGCUGAAACUCUGAGCGGACUGCAGGCAGACCCGGGGGCAGUACCCGGCGCCUCCACCCUAGCAGCUUGAUUUUGCCGGAAGGCAGGCUGCUACGGCGGGGGCGAAACAGGAUCGAUGGCUGCGAAGAAGCUCUGAAUUGUGCUCGGCAUGAUACCGCCGUUAUCGGGUCAAAAACCUAAAUGCAAACGAUAACGUUGCAUUGAACGAAGUGCGCCUCGCGGCGUAACC